UGCAAGAUAUAUUGUUAUAUAAUUAAGUUUCUUAAAGAAACUGUUUUAUUUAUUUUACUGCUUAAUCUCUUGUUCCACACUCCAGUCCAGUUGGUGGCGGUAAUGCACCAUUAAACUGGUUUGCCCACCGCCAAUAAACACAAAAGAAGAAGUUCCAGGAUUGUAACCUGUUCAUUUUUGUUGUGUCCGACCAACCUACGCUCGCUGAGCCUGACAUAUGAAACCAUCGGAGACUUACUUUAAGGAGCGAGCAAGCCAAUUAUCCACAAAGGAUCCAAAUAUCAACGCAGCACCAUGCUCGUGUCUCCUCAAGUCCUGGUCUGGGGCCUAUGACCUGGUCUGCUUCUGACAGUCCUCAACAAAAAGGAAGUGGUUGCC